GUCUCUAAAUAGAAUUGUCUGAAUUUGAUGGUUCGGGCUUUAUAGGGUUAACUUGUUCGACGAAAGUGAAAGUAGUUUUUCAGAUCAUCGACUGAAGCCGUAAACACACCACCCUGACUGACUGAGCUCCAGGAGAAAACAAACACCACCAAAAUGAUUAUCAAUGUGAAACUAAUGACUGGGAAAACGCUUAAGAUUGAAGUUGAGCCGAGUGACACUGUGGAAAAUGUGAAGGCGAAGAUUCAGGAUAAAGAAGGAACUCCAGUCGAUCAACAGCGACUGAUCUUUGAAGGAAAGCAACUGUGGGACGGGUCGACUCUGUCUGAUUGUCGCAUCAGCCAUGGGGCAGUAACUCACAUGGGUCUAAAUCUUCGGGGAGGAGGGCUUCCAGGUGAGACUCCUCCAGUUGUGGACCCUCUAGAUUCGGACUCUUCGGAUGAGGAAGGUGGUGGAAUGGGUGACAGGAACGGACGAAACGCCAGUAUGGAAACGCUUGCUAAUUUUUGUAGUCUUCAGUGAAGUAUCAGUUUCCUACUGGGACACAUUUCAAUCACACACCAGAUCUGCACUUCAGCAGCUAGUGUUCCCAAAAAGUGAGCUGAAGACUCUGGACUUUGAUGUGAAGAAGAACCAUUCAGCAAUCCUUUGGAUGAAAGACUCUUUAUUGUUUGGUGGAUAUAGUCAACAUUCCAUAUCUCUAUAUCAUCUAUCAAAGGAAACGAGACCAUCAACAUCAAAACAUAUUGUAUAUGUUUCUAUAAAUAUAAUUUUAAAGCCUGAUAGUGUUUCCACUGAGCAGACAAUAUUUCACUUUUUAAAGAAGUGCCUUGGACUCUUACAAUCUGUUACCAACUUCCUGAUUCCUACCAUGUUGUUACUUCAGACUGAACCAAUCAGAGAUGAUCACCUUCACCGACUUCACAUACUGGUUUGUUAUCCUGAUUUUUGAAGCUGUGAGUCGCUGUCAGUAUUGUUUUUGUGUUGUUGUUGUUGUUGUUGUUGUUGUUUGUUAGAUACACAUUUCAAUAUCUUUAUCCUUAAAAAAUGAUUGCAUCAGUUGUGUCUUGUUAAUGACAGGUUGGCACACCCCUGAAUAUACCUCACAUUAUCUUUGAUUUCAGUCUAAACAGGACACUAACUCAUGAAAUGGACCCUUAAUUGUAUAGAUUCAUGGACCUCAUCGGAUCAUGAAGACUUAAAGAAAUGCUUUGUGUCAUAAUUCACAAGAGAAAUGAUGCAUUGUUUCAAUCCAGAUAAUUAAUAAGCUUUAAACUGGGUUUGUAUUAAGCUGUCGUUUCAGUCAUGAGA